CUUCACAAUCUGUCCUUCCAGUGAGCACUCAGGGAUGAUUUUCUUAAGAAUGGAUACGUUUGAUCUUCUUGCAGUCCAUGGGACUCUCAAGAGUCUCCUCCAGCACCAUAAUUCAGAAGCAUCAAUUCUUCGGCGAUCAGCCUUCUUUAUAGUCCAGCUCUCACUUCCAUACAUCACUACUGGGAAAACCAUGACUUUAACUAUACGAGUUGAUGUUCUGCAGCUGUAAACCCAACCGAUCAUUGUGCUCUGCAGGAGAAGCUAUACCGCAAGUAUCAUCUUAUUCUGUACAACGUCAGAGUUGGGCUUUUCAUGUGGCGAGACCAACCCUUUGGAAGUGCCUGUUGACGUCCAUUUUCAUUCCUUCUGAGCAGGAGAUUUUUAUCCCAACCGGUAUCUGUACUGGAUAAUUUUUACAUAUGAAAUCGUUUUAACUGUUUUAAUAUACAAGACUACUUUAAAUUGUUUAAAUAUAUAUAAAUUUUUUAAAUUAAAAAAAACUAUGUUUUUUUAAAUUUAAUUUAAUCUAUGUUGUGAAAUUGCUUCAAGAUUUAUUUUUUGUAGGCAGUGCUUCAUGAAUAUAGGGAUAAACCUAUUGAUUCUUGCUUCUUUCUUGCCCCUUAUUUGCUUGUUUAUCAUUUGUGAAACAAAUUGCUCAAAGCACCAUUCCUACUCUGCUUUACCACACCCUUCCUUCUGUGAACCUGUCCUGCACCUAUUUCUUUCAAAUCCCGCUUUGUUGACUUGUAUCCCUUUUCUGGUAUUCCCAGAUCUGAUCCUGGCCUCAGUUUAGUUAAAAAAUGGUCCACAUCCCUUAGACUUCCAGACAGCAAACCAAAGUAAGAAACUCUACAAUCCUAAAAUGGCACAUUGUUCUGGUUUUGCUGAAAAUCCCACCCUCCUCCUCCAUGAAAUCAAGAUGACUUAAAAAAAACCAAACCCUGAUAAACUACAAUCUAUGAAUUAUUCCCUCUAACCCAAACAUCUGAAACUCAUCAAAUACAAACUUCAGAUGAGCUCCCACUGGGAGCCAGUUCUGUAGGCCUUCUAUGGCUUUUACAAGCCAGGCCAUUGGAGGCUAUAUCCUCCAUAGCGCAACUGAGAGGGCCACGUAAAUCACACACCUUCAGUGGACUAAACCCAGAAGUUUUCAAAACGAGUUUUAUUACGUCUCCUCUAAGCUCCCCCCUCCCCUUCCACCUGAUGCUCGUCGAUCACUCAUCGGCUCAGGUAUCAAACUUUCUGGACUCCUGCUAGAAUCCAAUCCCUGUGUGAAUCAUCCAUGUAGUUUCAAACCCUCUUUUCCGGACAACACCCAAGAAACAGCUGGCCAAAUGUUUGUGGUCCACACCACUCCAACAGCCAUUAAAAUACCCCCCCGGGGAAGGAAUUCUCACAAAGGGAGCUCUUUCUCUCUACCAAUUGCCUCCCGCAAAACUUUUCAGUUUUCCCACCCUGCCAGCCUUCCAUUUUGUUCAGCCCGAGAACACCCGUCUGGAAAAUGGCUGUGAAUCGGACCGCACGACUCCCGGUUUCGCACAGGAUGUGGGAAACGGCUCCCCUACAGGACAGGAUUUCGGCAAUGAAGUUUCAAGGGAAACACUGCUGGCAGGAGUGGAAGUGGGAGGGCCUCUGCGCUAACACCCCCACAAGGCCGCAAAGCAUCCCUUGACCUGAAUCGAGAUCGGAAGCGGGGAAAGCACAAGCUCCCCUUCAUUGUAGGCAAACAUGAAAUACGGCGUCUCCGGGGAGCCCUGCUCAGUGUUGUCAGCCCAUAAAAUGGAAUCUUGCAAACAACUUUUCAGUGUCCUUCCAAGACGGGUUACCGCACAGCACCAUUCCUCCCAGUGUUGUAAUUUAAGUGCUCCAUGGGGUCCGAGUCCCUUGCUGGGAUUGCCAGAGCUCUGCAUGCUGCAAAUAAUAUUCUGCUUUUUCCAUCUGUGACUAGAUUUAUGACCCAGCGGCAGUCCCCUUCUCCGAUUCAGGCCCAUCUUCGAGAGUGGAUGCUGGAAUGCAGCUCAUGUGAUAUUUUCCUAAACGUCCCUGUAGUGCCAUGAAACCCAGUUAUAAAGAAAACAAGGACAUGUUUUAAC